UGGGCAACCUGCCCUCAGCUCUGGGAUAACUCCGGGAAACCGGGGCUAAUACCGGAUACGACCGUCCCUCGCAUGGGGGUUGGUGGAAAGUUCUUCGGCUGAGGAUGGGCCCGCGGCCUAUCAGCUUGUUGGUGGGGUGAUGGCCUACCAAGGCGACGACGGGUAGCCGGCCUGAGAGGGCGACCGGCCACACUGGGACUGAGACAUGGCCCAGACUCCUACGGGAGGCA
rnacentral:rRNA from 1 species